UGCGUAGGCGGGGAAGCAAGUUUGUGGUGAAACCUGACGGCUCAACUGUCAGCCCGCCUCGAAAACUGCUUCUCUUGAGUGCUGUAGAGGAGAUCGGAAUUCCUGGUGUAGCGGUGAAAUGCGUAGAUAUCAGGAAGAACACCGGUUGCGAAGGCGGAUCUCUGGGCAUGCACUGACGCUGAGGCACGAAAGCUGGGGGAGCAAACAGGAUUAGAACCCUGGUAGUCC
rnacentral:rRNA from 1 species